UCUCUCAGUUCGGACUGGAGUCUGCAACCCGACUCCACGAAGCUGGAUUCGCUAGUAAUCGCGCAUCAGCCACGGCGCGGUGAAUACGUUCCCGGGCCUUGUACACACCGCCCGUCAAGCCAUGGGAGUUUGUAACGCCCAAAGUCGGUGGCCUAACCUUUAUGGAGGGAGCCGCCUAAGGCGGGACAGAUGACUGGGGUGAAGUCGUAACAAGGUACC
rnacentral:rRNA from 1 species